rnacentral:tRNA from 1 species
AGUCCUGCAGUAGAUAAUUACGUUGGAUUGCAAAUCCAAAACCGGAGGUUUGUUUCUCCCGGGGCUU